CUUUUGAGAAUCCUCCAGAGUCACACAAAUCCAGCUCUGCAAAAGCAAAAGGACAGACUCCAUCUUGAUCAUAUUAGUAUUUUGCUGACAUAAAACACUUGUAACUACUUCGUUCCAGCUUGACAGGGUGCCUGAAUCAUGUCUUCAGAGUAACCCACAGCAUCUACAUCCUUUGCUCUAUACAAAUUUAGUGAAUAUCGUCUGUUUAUCUUUUUUGCUUUCUUCUGCCUUCUCUGAACGACUUCCUCUUAGCUGUUCCAGCCUGAGAACUUGGAUUACCAUUUGGUUUUGAUUAAAACCAGACGGACAGCUCCAUGGAAAUUUGAGGAAGCCAGUCACAAGGAAUAAGAGAGAUUGAAAAAUUUAUAAGUGGGGACAUAUUUAAAAGGAAAUGCUGGAGCAAAUUACCCGAGGACACUGUAGUCUCCAUCCUUGAAGUUUUAAGACUCUGCUGGACAAACAGCUCAAAUCCAAGCAGUGCGUUCAACCACAGUACUGAUUGUAGACCAUUACUGGACAGCUGUGUAGAGUGGCAAAGCUUUCAA